CUCCUUGUUUCUCAUAGAUGUGAAACUAAAAUUUUAAUUUAUCACGAUCUUUUCCUCUGUAAUAUUCUUCUCCUCUGCGAAACCCCUCGGCUCGUCACCACCAUCGCCGUCCGACACCACCACUACAACCACCACGGUGGAGGUCGUGAGCAGAGUGACCGUGAGAAGAGUGGUCAUGAGCAGAGUUGCCGUGAGAAGAGUGGUCGUGGGCAGAGAAGACGUCUCAAGCUUGCCCCUCACGGUCGUCGUCGAUAUUACCGGAGAUGGAGACAGAAUGGAGGAAGACAUCCAGAAGAAAGAGGCUAAGGAGGAGGGAGGCGGUAGCAGAGAGAUUAGGUUUAGAGUUAAUUAGGGUCUGGCUAAUUAGGUUUAGAUUUUGGUUAAUUAGUUUUUGGUUUAGUGUGUUCUGGUUUGCUUAUAUAUAUAUUUUUUAAUUCUGGUUUAGCUUUGUAAAACAAAUUUUAUUUGUAAGUUGAUUUUAAUUAAUAAAAUAAUUUAAUUUUAAUUUUAA